CAGCCGCCGCGGUAAUACGAAGGGGGCUAGCGUUGUUCGGAAUUACUGGGCGUAAAGCGCACGUAGGCGGAUAUUUAAGUCAGGGGUGAAAUCCCAGAGCUCAACUCUGGAACUGCCUUUGAUACUGGGUAUCUUGAGUAUGGAAGAGGUGAGUGGAAUUCCGAGUGUAGAGGUGAAAUUCGUAGAUAUUCGGAGGAACACCAGUGGCGAAGGCGGCUCACUGGUCCAUUACUGACGCUGAGAUGCGAAAGCGUGGGGAGCAAACAGGAUUAGAUACCCCUGUAGUCCCUGUCUCUUAUAC
rnacentral:rRNA from 1 species